rnacentral:rRNA from 1 species
AUUGAACGCUGGCGGCAGGCCUAACACAUGCAAGUCGAACGGUAACAGGAAGAAGCUUGCUUCUUUGCUGACGAGUGGCGGACGGGUGAGUAAUGUCUGGGAAACUGCCUGAUGGAGGGGGAUAACUACUGGAAACGGUAGCUAAUACCGCAUAACGUCGCAAGACCAAAGAGGGGGACCUUCGGGCCUCUUGCCAUCGGAUGUGCCCAGAUGGGAUUAGCUAGUAGGUGGGGUAACGGCUCACCUAGGCGACGAUCCCUAGCUGGUCUGAGAGGAUGACCAGCCACACUGGAACUGAGACACGGUCCAGACUCCUACGGGAGGCAGCAGUGGGGAAUAUUGCACAAUGGGCGCAAGCCUGAUGCAGCCAUGCCGCGUGUAUGAAGAAGGCCUUCGGGUUGUAAAGUACUUUCAGCGGGGAGGAAGGGAGUAAAGUUAAUACCUGUGCUCAUUGACGCUACCCGAAGAAGAAGCACCGGCUAACUCCGUG